AGGGGUGUAGCUCAGUUGGUAGAGCGGCGGUCUCCAAAACCGCAGGCCGGGGGUUCGAGACCCUCCGCCCCUGCCA
rnacentral:tRNA from 4 species